rnacentral:lncRNA from 1 species
UCUCCGGAGUUCUUCACAGUGGGGGCUAACGUAGCUAUCCUGCAGACGGUCUCGGGUGAGUGUAGUAGAUUCUCCCCACGUUGCGAGAUUUGGUUGUUAGUCGGGGCUUAACCUUCCGGUAAGCCGGAAUGAUUGGGUUACAAAAAAAAAAAAGGUAAUGAUUGAGCAGUGGAUGCAGCAGAGUGCGUGGUAUUCUGCGUAGGAUUGACUCGAGGCCGUGUCGGAUGGUUAGCUUGGUUAAAGUAAAAGAAA